GCUCCUGGUUGGUUCUUCCAGUAGUUGCACCAGGAAUUUGUCCCCAACAGUCUCCAAAAACUUCCCAGAUUGUCUGUGCACUGCUGUAUUGCUCUCUGAGCAGAUGUCAGAGUGAUUGAAGUCCGCCAUUAGAACCACGGCCUUGCUGAAAUGUUUUU